CAUUCUCUUAAAACUCAUUCCACUGCGACGGACGGGCUCGGCCGGGAGCAAUCAGUCCGACGGGAACAGGACCCCGGGAAUGGUGGGCAAGGAUUCGGCGA